rnacentral:rRNA from 1 species
ACUCUGAAUGAUAUCUAUUGGAGGGCAAGUCUGGUGCCAGCAGCCGCGGUAAUUCCAGCUCCAAGAAUUAUGGUUAAAAUUGUUGCAGUUAAAAAGCCCGUAGUUGAAAUUUGGAAUGAGAUUCGACUUGGUUACACGCGAUGUGUUGACUAGGGCGUUUCAUUCCUUUUAACUUCUGCUUGUUGUGGCGUGGUCAUUAAUUUGGUUGCGUUAUACAUCAGUGGAUCUUUUACUUUGAAAAAAUAGGCGCGUUCAAAGCAGGUCGUACGACCGUUGAACUUUCUAGCAUGGGAAAUGAAAUAGGACUUUUGUAAUAUUUUGUUGGUUUUUUAUUAUGAGAGUAAUGAUUAAUAGGAAUGGCCGGGGGGCUUGGUAUUAUGGGUCAAGUGGUGAAAUACGUUGACACCUGUAAGACCAACUUCUGCGAAGGCAAGGCCCAAGUACGUCUCCAUUAAUCAAGGGCGAAGGCGAGAGGAGCGAAAAUGAUCAGAUACCGUUGUAGUUCUCGCAGUAAACGAUGCCAACCAAAGAUCAGUGACUGACUUCAAGUCGUCAUUGGAAUUUUGUGAGAAAUCAGAGUUUUCGGGUUCUGGGGGGAGUAUGGUCGCAAGGCUGAAACUUAAAGGAAUUGACGGAAGGGCAUCACCGGGGGUGGAGCUUGCGGCUUAAUUUGACCCAACACGGGAAAACUUACCAAAGCAAUACGGUAGAAGGAUUGUCAGGUUAAUAGCCCUUACAUGAUUUAUCGAAAAGUGGUGCAUGGCCGUUCUUAAUUGGUGGAGUGAUUUGUCUGGUUUAUUCCGUUAACGAGUGAGACCUUUGCGACCUAAUAGAAACCUCUUACUUCUAUAUGGUUGAAAGUAUUAGCUAGGAGAGAACCCACGGGUUUUUUCCACUUGUGCUGGAUGCCUGAAGAUAAGACGGAUUCUUCUUUGUCGGACUGCUGGCGAAAAGCCAGAGGAAGGGGAAGGCUAAAACAGGUCUGUUAUGCCCUUAGAUGUUUUGGGAUGCACGCGUGCUACAAUGGAUAUGUCAACAAGUAUUUUUUUAACCUUUCCAGAAAUGGAUGGGAAAUCUUUAAAACAUAUCCGUAUUUGGGAUUGGGAUUUGUAAUUAUCUCCCAUGAACGAGGAAUCCCUUGUACCGAUGAGUCAUCAGCUCGUCGGGAAUAUGUCCCUGCCCUUUGUACACACCGCCCGUCGCUCCCACCGAUUGACUUGGGCAAUGAGGUCUUUCG